GUUUUCACACAGUGCUAAGGGGACACGCUGACAUGUGUGUCAUCAAGAACUCCAGCGCCCACACAGCCUGAGUCUGGAUGGGACGUUUGAAAUCAGCAAGGAGUGUGGGUUGGAUCUACGUUUCUGUUCAUACCAGGCAGGCACAUCGGAAGGCUCAUGGUCAGAGGAUGCUGGGACAAACGCCACAGGAGGUUCCUUUUUGUCUGGCUCACCCAGAAGAGAGGCUCCUCUCCUCCCUUUCCUGCAGCACAACGGCCUGGCUGGCACCCGAGGGCGGCCGGCGUGGGCUGACCUCAGAGGAGCAAGGCGUGUUUGCAGCUCUGCCACUCACAUCCACAGUGGCCAUGACAACAGACGCAGCACCAUCCAUUAAAGCUCUGUGUCAUUUCA
rnacentral:antisense_RNA from 1 species